rnacentral:rRNA from 1 species
UACGUAGGGGGCAAGCGUUGUCCGGAUUUAUUGGGCGUAAAGAGCGUGUAGGCGGCUUGGUAGGUCCGCUGUGAAAACUCGAGGCUCAACCUCGAGAUGUCGGCGGAAACCACUUGGCUAGAGUCCGGAAGAGGAUAGUGGAAUUCCUGGUGUAGCGGUGAAAUGCGCAGAUAUCAGGAAGAACACCUAUGGCGAAGGCAGCUCUCUGGGACGGUACUGACGCUGAGACGCGAAAGCGUGGGGAGCGAACAGG